GUCAAUAUGGCAUAAUGGUUUGAGUGUUAGACUACGGCGCUGGAGACCAGGGUUCAAUUCCCAGCUCAGCCA